ACCCAAAACCUUAUCCAAUGUGGAUCACCCAAUCCCAAUAAGUAAGUGCCAGGUCAGCAGCAAGUAUCUAAGUGUAUCCAAGCUUGGCACCCUCAAACCACAAACUCCUCAUGUGGCUGUGAUGCACACCUGGCCUCUAGUCCUUAUAACUCUUUUAACACCCUAAUAUUGAAAGCAAAUAUUCUGAAAAAACCGAAGAGGGAGAGAGGUUUUGUGAUCAUUCUCUUUGAAAUCAGGCAAUGGCAACCACUGUGAUGACCACUCUCCCACAAUUCAAUGGCCUCAGACCCAAAUCUUCCACAUCUCCUGUACAAACUCUGGUCAGUGCUCCUUUUCCCUUUUCUUGGUUUUCUCUUUCUUUAAUUUUUUACUACAUGAAUGUUCUAGGCACUAUUUGAUUCUGUAUCUGCUAUUAGUGUAGUGGUGAGGUAGUGCCCAAAUCUAAAAUUUAGGAGGAAGUUUUCUGAAUUUUGAGAACUUAAGACCAGACCCAUCAGUAAUGAUGAACAGAUUGAAAACCCUUUAGAAAUGACAUUCAAAAGAAUGCCCCAUCAACUGAAUUUGCUGGUGGUUGUGGCUGGCAUCUGUAAGACAACUGUAUUUGAAUGAUUUGGAGGACAGAAAAAGUCAGAGAAAUGAAUGGGAUGAAAAUCCAUGCUCAGAUUUUUGUCUCCAUCAUGCAUACAGGCAGCAGUUCAACCAAUGAGGCGCAAGGGGAAGGGAGCUUUGGGUGCUCGCUGUGAUUUCAUUGGUUCACCCACCAAUCUGGUAACCAUUUCAAGCAAAGCCAUUGCUGAUUGAUUUCUCUUUUAUGUAAAGAGAUGGGUACUAAUACGGGUCUUUUAUUCUUUUUACGUGCGUGUGGGGAAACAGAUUAUGGUGACUUCAACAAGCCUAAUGCUGUUUGCUGGGCGAUUUGGGUUGGCUCCAUCGGCCAACAGGAAGGCGACUGCGGGAUUGAAGCUUGAGGUAAGGGACUCAGGGCUGCAGACUGGAGACCCAGCUGGCUUCACCCUUGCAGAUACCUUGGCAUGUGGAACUGUAGGUCACAUAAUUGGGGUUGGGGUUGUUCUUGGACUUAAGAACAUAGGUGUCCUGUAAACUAUUAUCCUUUUAACCAUCUCAUUCUAAUACUCCUUUCUCUCUCUCUCUCUCUCUCUCCCCUUGGUGCUUUGUUUUUCCACCCUGAAAUGCCUAUUUGCCG
rnacentral:lncRNA from 1 species